rnacentral:misc_RNA from 1 species
GAUGAAGAACGCAGCGAAAUGCGAUAAGUAAUGUGAAUUGCAGAAUUCAGUGAAUCAUCGAAUCUUUGAACGCACAUUGCGCCCCUUGGUAUUCCGAGGGGCAUGCCUGUUCGAGCGUCAUUAUAACCCCUCAAGCUCAGCUUGGUGUUGGGGCCUGCCGCACGGGCAGCCCUUAAAAUCAGUGGCGGUGCCAUCUGGCUCUAAGCGUAGUAAUUCUUCUCGCUAUAGAGUUCCGGUGGAUGCUUGCCAUUAACCCCCAAUUUUCUAUGGUUGACCUCGGAUCAGGUAGGGAUACCCGCUGAACUUAAGCAUAUCAAUAGCGGAGGA